GGGAGAAGGGGAAGGCACCUAGGGAGUGCUUAGGCAAGAGGCCCGCGGGCAUACAUAUACCCGUAGUAUAUUCACUGUCUAGGCACACUAGGUAACCAUUGUUGACAGUGGAAGAACAAUGAUUCCAAGCACCACCCUCCUUUUGAAACUUCCAGUCUGUUAUUCGAGCUCAAUCAGCAGGAAGGAGUGGUCUCAGCCUUGUCCUCGUCACACACACCUGUGUUAAUGAGAGAAUCACUGACAUGAUGUCAGCUGGUCCUUUUGUGGCAGGGCUGAAAUGCAGUGGAAAUGUUUUUGGGGGAUUCAGCUCAUUUGCAUGGCAAAGAGGGACUUUGCAAUUAAUUGCAAUUCAUCUGAUCACUCUUCAUAACAUUCUGGAGUAUAUGCAAAUUGUAUCAUACCAACUGAGUCAGCAGACUUUGUGAAAAUUAAUAUUUGUGUCAUUCUCAAAACUUUUGGCCAUGACUGUAUAUUAUCAAAGACCAUGCUACGAGUGAGGAAACAGAUGACACUGCGAUUGUCCUGGAACCGUCAAGGUGCUGCAGGAUCGGGGCAAUGUAGCAUUUGCUGUUGCAAUUAACAGCCUCAUGAAUGACAUGAACCUCAGUUACCCUAUGAGCUCCGCUACACCUUAAGUCUUUCAAAAGGUUUUUAUGGAACUGACUGAAACGUUCUAACAAAUCUGUUGCAUUUAAGUGUUUUGUGUGUUUCAGACUGUAUGUUUGACUUAUGUUGAACUUGUUAGAUUGUUUACAAAAACUCUAAACAGAAUGAGCAUGUUCAAAGAUGGAGCUAUUGUGAUAUUGUUAGAUAUUUUUUACGGUGUUUUGAGUAUAUGCCCUUAAUGUUCUUUGCUGCUUAUAAUAUAAUUAACAUGCACCAAUAUGUACACAUACCUACCUCAUUCUUUGUCUAUUGCGCCUCAUGAAAAAUAACUACCUAAUUUUGUGACAAUGCAUUAGAAAGAAUGCCCAAUCAUUGUUAGGACAACUCUUUAUGUAAAGCCUACAUUACUGUGAUUUAGACCUGUGCAAUUAAUUGCACACUGAAUGUCAGGCAAUGGGCAUUUGUCAUUCCAAAGAGCUGAACCGUUACACAAAUAGUCAUUUUUUUAGCACAUGCCUUUUGUGUUCUUUGUCACUGAU